CAGUCGGGUGGAAUGCUGAGAAACGGCUUCUUAAGUGCAGCCUGGUCGUGGCCGGGCGCAGCGGGUUGAAAGGAAAGGGGACGCCCACUGCGGUGUUUUGUUCUGUUCAGGUUGGGCUGGGGCUUUGCAGGAAGGUUCGGGCGAGCCCGGCAGCGGGAAUGCUGCCCUCGCGUGGCCAGAAGUCCCACACGACCGCUGCCGUAGUCACCUCCCCCAGAGACGUGCGUAAGAAGCAGGCAGGGGGAGGCCAGGUCUGAUUUGUCAGCCCACAUAGGAUGGCAAGUGAAACCAACGUCAGAAAGGCUUUGAGAAGCUAAGUGCGUGCCCAGGGCUGGGCAGUACCCUUACCAGGAGACUUUCCGACUUCGGGGUCUCUGCAACCACCAUGGCCAGCAAAGUAAUGAUUUGUGGACUUCAAGAGGUAGUUUGCUUCAACAUGGCUAAGUAGCUGGUGUUGGUUCAAACUUUGGGAAUUUGACACUGAGUAGUUUAUUUGGGGCAUAUUUAAGCACAGCAAAAUUUGGUGAAAACUUUCCUGGUGACAAUUUACUUAAUCCCAUGUGCACAAUAAAGCUUACGACGUGACAACUUCGGAACUCUUUGUACAUGUGACAUCUUCCAAUAAAGAUGGCUUUUAGAGAUUGA